AAAAUUAAUUAAAAGAAAUACAAAUACAAGUAAACCGAAGAAAGAAUAGUGAAAACCCUACUUUCUAUUCAAAAUUCCAUGAAUUUCAUCUUUUUCGAUGCAGCGCCGCUGCGUCCUCUUCUUCUUCUUCUUGCGCUUUUCUUCUUUCUACAACGUCGCCCUUUUCAUUUUCUUCGUCUUCUUUCUGCAACGGUUAUCUUCUUCUUCUUCUUCUUUUUUCUUUCUUUUUUUGCAAAAUAAUUUCAUUACCUUCUUCUUAAUUCUCAUAAACAAUAGUGGUGAAACUGCAAUUUUCAGAAUUAUGUAUAGUUGAAAGCGUCGAUAGCCCC
rnacentral:lncRNA from 1 species